rnacentral:rRNA from 1 species
UACGAGGGGGGCAAGCGUUGUUCGGAAUUAUUGGGCGUAAAGGGUGCGUAGGCGGUUUGGUAAGUCUUAUGUGAAACUCUACAGGCUCAACUUGUAGUCUGCAUGAGAAACUGCCGGGCUUGAGUAUGGGAGAGGUGAGUGGAAUUCCUGGUGUAGCGGUGAAAUGCGUAGAUAUCAGGAGGAACACCUGUGGCGAAAGCGGCUCACUGGACCAUAACUGACGCUGAUGCACGAAAGCUAGGGGAGCAAACAGG